GAUGAACGCUGGCGGCGUGCUUAACACAUGCAAGUCGAACGGAAAGGCUCCUGCUUGCAGGGGUACUCGAGUGGCGAACGGGUGAGUAACACGUGGGUGAUCUGCCCUGCACUUCGGGAUAAGCCUGGGAAACUGGGUCUAAUACCGGAUAGGACGAUGGUUUGGAUGCCAUUGUGGAAAGUUUUUCGGUGUGGGAUGAGCUCGCGGCCUAUCAGCUUGUCGGUGGGGUAAUGGCCUACCAAGGCGUCGACGGGUAGCCGGCCUGAGAGGGUGUACGGCCACAUUGGGACUGAGAUACGGCCCAGACUCCUACGGGAGGCAGCAGUGGGGAAUAUUGCACAAUGGGCGCAAGCCUGAUGCAGCGACGCCGCGUGGGGGAUGACGGCCUUCGGGUUGUAAACUCCUUUCGCUAGGGACGAAGCGCAAGUGACGGUACCUGGAGAAGAAGCACCGGCUAACUACGUG
rnacentral:rRNA from 1 species